UACGUAGGCAGCAAGCGUUGUUCGGAUUUACUGGGCGUAAAGGGUGUGUAGGCGGUUCUUUAAGUUUGGUGUGAAAUCUCCCGGCUCAACUGGGAGGGUGCGCCGAAUACUGAGGGACUAGAGUACGGGAGAGGAAAGUGGAAUUCCUGGUGUAGCGGUGAAAUGCGUAGAUAUCAGGAGGAACACCGGUGGUGUAGACGGCUUUCUGGACCGUAACUGACGCUGAGACACGAAAGCGUGGGUAGCAAACAGG
rnacentral:rRNA from 1 species